GAUGAAGAACGCAGCGAAAUGCGAAAAGUAGUGUGAAUUGCAGAAUUCAGUGAAUCAUCGAAUCUUUGAACGCACAUUGCGCCCCUUGGUAUUCCAUGGGGCAUGCCUGUUCGAGCGUCAUUUGUACCCUCAAGCUCUGCUUGGUGUUGGGUGUUUGUCCCGUUUCACGCGUGGACUCGCCUUAAAGCAAUUGGCAGCCGGCAUACUGGCCUUGGAGCGCAGCACAAUUUGCGCUUCUUGCCCUGAAUGUCAGCGUCCAUCAAGUCUACAUUUUUACUCUUGACCUCGGAUCAGGUAGGGAUACCCGCUGAACUUAAGCAUAUCAAUAAGCGGAGGA
rnacentral:misc_RNA from 1 species